rnacentral:rRNA from 1 species
CCUACGGGGGGCAGCAGUGAGGAAUAUUGGUCAAUGGACGAGAGUCUGAACCAGCGAAGUAGCGUGAAGGAUGACUGCUCUAUGGGUUGUAAACUUCUUUUAUAUGGGAAUAAAAUGUUCCACGUGUGGGAUUUUGUAUGUACAAUAUGAAUAAGGAUCGGCUAACUCCGUGCAAGCAGCCGCGGUAAUACGGAGGAGCCGAGCGUUAUCCGGAUUUAUUGGGUUUAAAGGGCGCGUAGGUGGAUUGUUAAGUCAGUUGUGAAAGUUUGCGGCUCAACCGUAAAAUUGCAUUUGAAACUGGGAGUCUUGAGUAAAGUAGAGGUAGGCGGAAUUCGUGGUGUAGCGGUGAAAUGCUUAGAUAUCACGAAGAACUCCGAUUGCGAAGGCAGCUCACUGGACUGCAACUGACACUGAGGCUCGAAAGUGUGGGUAUCAAACAGGAUUAGAUACCCUUGUAGUC